GACAGAGGGGGCAAGCGUUGCUCGGAAUCACUGGGCGUAAAGGGCGCGUAGGCGGGAUGGCAAGUCGGUCGUGAAAUCCUUCGGCUCAACCGAAGAACGUCGGCCGAUACUGCCGUUCUUGAGGGAUGCAGAGGAGAUUGGAAUUCCCGGUGUAGCGGUGAAAUGCGCAGAUAUCGGGAAGAACACCCGUGGCGAAGGCGGCUCUCUGGGACGGUACUGACGCUGAGACGCGAAAGCGUGGGGAGCGAACAGG
rnacentral:rRNA from 1 species